rnacentral:rRNA from 1 species
CCCGUCACACCAUGGGAGGAGCAUGUAUCCGAAGUCGCUAACUCAACCCGCAAGGGAGAGGAGUGCCUAAGGUAUGUGCACUGACUGGGGUG